rnacentral:misc_RNA from 1 species
AGUCGUAACAAGGUUUCCGUAGGUGAACCUGCGGAAGGAUCAUUAACACAUUGUCCAUUUGAUGAUGAAGGGAGUUGGGUGUCAUAACUCAUCUCUCUCAUCAUUCAAACCAUAUAGCGAAUGAGUUGAAGUCCUCAUUAUUAAUUAACUUUAAUAAUUAGUGGAAUAAGACAUGUAAUCACGUUUAAUGAAUUAUAUUCGUAAUUCAUUCGACUAAUGUUUAUUUAUAAAAAACAUAUAACCAAGACAACUUGUAACAGUGGAUACCUUGGCUCCA